rnacentral:rRNA from 1 species
GACGAACGCUGGCGGCGUGCCUAAUACAUGCAAGUAGAACGCACAGGUUAUACCCUAGUUUGCUACACCAUAGACUGUGACGGGCGAGUGAGGGAUUAACGCGUAGGUAAUCUGCCGGGGAGCACGUGUUAACUAUAGUAAACGUUAGCUAUUACAGCAUAAUAUUAAUUAUUUCAGGAUAAUUAAUUCAAUGGCACAAUUCAACCACUACCAGGUGUUCCUUGAUUGUAUUAGCUAGUAGGUGAGUUAACGGCUCACCUAGGCGACGAUACAUAGCCGACCUGAGGGGGUGAUCGGCCACACUGGAACUGAGACACGGCCCAGACUCCUACGGGAGGCAGCAGUAGGGAAUCUUCGGCAAUGGCCGAAAGUCUGACCGAGCAACGCCGCGUGAGUGAAGAAGGUUUUCGGAUCGUAAAGCUCUGUUGUAAGGGAAGAACGGGGGUAGGAGGGGAAAGUCCUCACUGUACGGGAAUCAUACAAGAAAGGACGGCUAACUUCGGG